rnacentral:rRNA from 1 species
GACGAACGCUGGCGGCGUGCCUAAUACAUGCAAGUAGAACGCACAGUUUAUACCGUAGCUUGCUACACCAUACACUGUGAGUUGCGAACGGGUGAGUAACGCGUAGGUAACCUGCCUGGUAGCGGGGGAUAACUAUUGGAAACGAUAGCUAAUACCGCAUAAUAUUAAUUAUUGCAUGAUAAUUGAUUGAAAGAUGCAAUUGCAUCACUACCAGAUGGACCUGCGUUGUAUUAGCUAGUAGGUGAGGUAACGGCUCACCUAGGCGACGAUACAUAGCCGACCUGGGAGGGUGGUCGGCCACACUGGGACUGAGACACGGCCCAGACUCCUACGGGAAGCAGCAGGAGGGAAUCUUCGGCAAUGGACGAAAGUCUGACCGAGCAACGCCGCGGGAGUGAAGAAGGGUUUCGGAUCGUAAAGCUCUGUUGUGAGAGAAGAACGGGUGUGAGAGUGGAAAGUUCACACUGUGACGGUAUCUUACCAGAAAGGGACGGCUAACUACGUG